rnacentral:rRNA from 1 species
GACGAACGCUGGCGGCGUGCCUAAUACAUGCAAGUCGAGCGAGACUCUUCGGAGUCUAGCGGCGGACGGGUGAGUAACACGUGGGCAACCUGCCUGUAAGACUGGGAUAACACCGGGAAACCGGUGCUAAUACCGGAUAAUCCUUUUCCUCUCAUGAGGAAAAGCUGAAAGUCGGUUUCGGCUGACACUUACAGAUGGGCCCGCGGCGCAUUAGCUAGUUGGUGAGGUAACGGCUCACCAAGGCGACGAUGCGUAGCCGACCUGAGAGGGUGAUCGGCCACACUGGGACUGAGACACGGCCCAGACUCCUACGGGAGGCAGCAGUAGGGAAUCUUCCACAAUGGACGAAAGUCUGAUGGAGCAACGCCGCGUGAGCGAUGAAGGCCUUCGGGUCGUAAAGCUCUGUUGUUAGGGAAGAACAAGUACCGGAGUAACUGCCGGUACCUUGACGGUACCUAACCAGAAAGCCACGGCUAACUACGUGCCAGCCGCCGCAGUAACAC